rnacentral:rRNA from 1 species
UACGUAGGGUGCGAGCGUUAAUCGGAAUUACUGGGCGUAAAGGGUGCGCAGGUGGCCGCGCGCGGGGGGAGUGAAAUCGCCUGGCUUAACUGGGCGGGGGCUUUCCAGACGGCGUGGCUUGAGCCACAGAGGGGGGCGUGGAAUUCCGGGUGGAGCGGUGAAAUGCGUGGAGAUGCGGAGGAACACCGAUGGCGAAGGCAGCCCCCUGGGCUAACACUGACGCUCAGGCACGAAAGCGUGGGGAGCAAACAGG